rnacentral:lncRNA from 1 species
AUGUGAAUUUCUUCGGAGUAAGAAAUCCUCAGAGGAAAUUACCCAGUAUAUUCAAAGCUACAAGGGAUUUGUUGACAUAACGGUCUGUUUUCAAGGUCAGUUUCCGGAAACAGUGACCCUGAGAAGGCUUCCUCCUGAGUAUGCAUAAACAUUCACAGCUUGCAUGCGUGUGUGUGUGUGUGUGUGUGUGUGUGUGUGUGUAUGUUUGCUUGCACUGCAUAAAAACAAUUGCAACAUCAACAGAAAUAAAAAUUAAAGGAAUAAUUCUCCUCCGACUCUGCCGUUCCAUCCAGUGAAACUCUUCAUUCUGGGGGAGAACAUUUUGUGAAUUCCUGGGUCCAGAGAGAAUUACCUAUGGCAUCAG